rnacentral:rRNA from 1 species
UACGUAGGGUGCAAGCGUUAAUCGGAAUUACUGGGCGUAAAGCGUGCGCAGGCGGUUUUGUAAGCCGGAUGUGAAAUCCCCGGGCUUAACCUGGGAAUGGCAUUCGGGACUGCAAGGCUGGAGUGCGGCAGAGGAGACUGGAAUUCCUGGUGUAGCGGUGAAAUGCGCAGAUAUCAGGAAGAACACCUAGUGGCGAAGGCAGCUCUCUGGGACGGUACUGACGCUGAGACGCGAAAAGCCGGUGGGGAGCGAAACAGGGAUUAGA